GAUGAACGCUGGCGGCGUGCCUAAUACAUGCAAGUCGAGCGAACAGACGAUGAUCUUGCUCCGUUCUCGUUUGCGGCGGACGGGUGAGUAACACGUGUAUAAUCUACCUAUCAUACGGGUAUCACUACGGGAAUCCGGAGCUUAUCCCGGAUAAUCUACUGAAGCGCGUGGUUGAAUAGUGAAAUACGGUUUUUCUGUCUCGUAUAGAUGGUUCCCGGCCUCAUUAGCUAGUUGGUAAGUUAACGGCUUAUCAAGGCGACCAUGCGUAGCCGACCUGAGGGGCUGGUAGGCCACACUGGAACUGGGCCACGCUCCAGGCUCCUGCGGGAGGCAGCAGAAGGGAAUCUUCCGCAAUGGGCGAGAGCAUGACGGAGCGACGCCGCGUGAGUGAUAAAGGUCUUCGGAUCGUAAAGAUCUGUUAUUAGGGAUAAACAAAUGUGUAAGUAAAUAUGCACGUCUUGACGGUACCUAGUCAGAAAGCACCGGCUAACUACGUG
rnacentral:rRNA from 1 species